rnacentral:rRNA from 1 species
GAUGAACGCUGGCGGCGUGCCUAAUACAUGCAAGUCGAGCGAACAGACGAGGAGCUUGCUCCUCUGACGUUAGCGGCGGACGGGUGAGUAACACGUGGAUAACCUACCUAUAAGACUGGGAUAACUUCGGGAAACCGGAGCUAAUACCGGAUAAUAUAUUGAACCGCAUGGUUCAAUAGUGAAAGACGGUUUUGCUGUCACUUAUAGAUGGAUCCGCGCCGCAUUAGCUAGUUGGUAAGGUAACGGCUUACCAAGGCAACGAUGCGUAGCCGACCUGAGAGGGGGAUCGGCCACACUGGAGCUGAGACACGGUCCAGGCGCCGGCGGGAGGCAGCAGUAGGGAAUCUUCCGCAAUGGGCGAAAGCCUGACGGAGCAACGCCGCGUGAGUGAUGAAGGUCUUCGGAUCGUAAAACUCUGUUAUUAGGGAAGAACAAAUGUGUAAGUAACUAUGCACGUCUUGACGGUACCUAAUCAGAAAGCCACGGCUAACUACGUG